rnacentral:sRNA from 1 species
AUUCUGCCCAUGCGGGGAAGGAUGAGAAGCUUCGACCAAGGUUCGACUCGAGCGCCAGCGAGAGAGCGUUGCCGCAGGCAACGACCCGAAGGGCGAAGCGCGCAGCGCUGGAGCACGACCUUGCCAAGGUCG